GCCAAGAAAAGCCACUAAGUUUAUUAUAUGUUGCCCGUACCGUAAACCGACACAGGUGGGUGGGAUGAGUAUUCUAAGGCGCGUGGAAGAACCCUCUUUAAGGAACUCUGCAAAAUAGCACCGUAUCUUCGGUAUAAGGUGUGCCUACUUUGGUAUAUGAACUUGCUUCAAAAAGCUAGAGAGGUUGCAACAAAGAGUCCCUCCCGACUGUUUACCAAAAACACAGCACUUUGCUAACACGUAAGUGGAUGUAUAAGGUGUGACGCCUGCCCGGUGCUCGAAGGUUAAUUGAUGAUGUCAGCGC
rnacentral:rRNA from 1 species